UCUGCACCUCCGCUCCCCUUUAUGUCUCCCAUCCAAUACCGAAUCAUAACAAAGCCCUUGGAGCCUUCCUGGUCCUUCCGCUUCUUGGCGUCCACUGAGCGCCGGCCACGUUGGCCUCGCCCGCAGCCCACUGGCUCUCGUCCGGGUUUUGCGGUCCUGAUGCUGGCAGGACAAAGCUGAGGGACAUUCAUCAUGAAUGCAGCGCCCCCGAAAGGGACUUCUUAGCCCUAAAGGGCUCAGCCUCGGGCUGCUGUUCACAGCCGGCAGCUCCUGAUACCAGAAGGAGGCUGUAAGCCUUGGGAUUUGGACCCCAAACUCCCACCUCCCACCUCCUCUAAGGGAUUUAACAGCAGAGAUUUGGCUCAGGCUGAGGAGGAGGAGGACCAUAAGGUUCCUGCCCAUUACAAGGAACAUGCACUGUUCCCUGAAGAUGCCACGUCCAACCAAGACCCUUCUGGAAGCAAUACCCCAUUAACCUGGAAGAAAGAAGGGGUCUCUAGCUCCUGACUGACCGAUUUCUUCAUGAUGGGCUUUUAACUUCUUGUCAAUUGCCCUGCAAUUCACCAGUCCUUCUGAUAAAGAAAUCAGUUGGGGAGUAUUGGAAGGUACAAGACCUUGGGGAAGUUAACAAGGCAGGUGUCCCUGUACAUCCCAUAGUUCCUAAUCCUUCCACCAUCCUGGCUUAAAUCCUUGGUAACACUCUCCGGCUCUCUGUUCUGGACCAACAAGAUGUUUUCUUUUGCACUUCUCUCAGUCAGGACUAUCAGUUUAUUUUUGCUUUUGAAUGGGCUUCACCCUCUGAACCUCUGCCCCAGCAUAUACAUGGACUAUAUUUCCCCAAGAAUUCAGGGAUUUGGGGGGGACUGCUCUCAGUAAAGACCUGAAGGAUCAUUUAAAUAAGAGUGUUAUCAUUCUGUAGGUAAAUGAUCUUUUACUCUGGAGCCCUGAUCUUAAGACAUCCCACUAAGGCACUGUUAAAACCUUACAUUGCUUGGUGGUAUGGUGCUACCAGGUUUCAUUAAAGAAAGCCCAGAUCUCUCAGUAGCAAGUAAAGUACCCUGGCCAUGGGUUAACACCUAUCUGUCGGUCCUUAGUCCCCAACAGGAAGCAAGCUAUCCUUUCCAUUCCUCACCCAGUGUGAGGGUUAAAAAUUAAAGAGUUGGACUAAA